rnacentral:rRNA from 1 species
CCACGUGGUAUAAAAAAAGGGUCUUUCUGUAGUCGUUCACUCGUAGUAUCCGAUCUGGCGAAACUCAGUUCAGUUGAGUAAGAAACGGAUGCGCGAGGUAGGUCUAGAGUAACCCAACCAAGCAUAUUUAGGUGGGCUUCGAUCGUUGAUGAUCGUUCCUUCGCUAAGAAGAGUGUUCGGAGUAGGGGCAAAGCAACAAGAGAAGCGUCGACGAGCUCUCUUAGUGGGGGUUCACAAGCUAGAAGGGGUCGAACUUCGUCGAGUGGAGUUUCGAACAAGUUGGUAGUCUUUACCGCUGGCCGCGACCGCCUCCAGUCGGCUCGCAAGACUCGUGUAACGGCUUCUUAGACGGCAAUCUGAAAGACUUUUGGUAGUGGCUGGUCAAGAGUCUGCUCGCAUUUUAGCCAUGUCCGCGUAAACCUUGACAAAUAUACCCUAAUUACGGCCUACCCGUUUAUUAAUGGCACUUCUUUGAGCGACUUUUAAGUGGUUAACGCGCACUCUUUCGUAAACGAUUGCUCCAAGUCUUAUAAUACCGAGAGGUGGUACUUUUACAUCAUUUUAACCACCCGAUGACGGUACUUCCAGUUUUCUUUCACCACGACUUGUUACCUUCUAUAUAGCACCGACUGUAACAACUUUCAAAUGAAACGGUGCUCAUGCAUGGUUCCCCUUCGGAAGUCUUCUUAGAAAAACUUGAUGUAUGUUUUUACCUGACCUUGUAUGCGAAGUUGUAUUAAUUCCCCUAAACGUUGCCAAACGUGAAACAUGUGUCGUAAGGAUAACAGGUAUACCUAGAGUUCGGCCUUUUGUAUGACAACCUACUAUUGUACCACGGCUUUUAGCGGCUAAAGCCAGAGAGGUCUGAGAAACCAGUUCUUGUUUGUGCCUACUUGUGUGUCUUACAACAACCCAGUAUACCUAUGUAUCGAGGCCUUAUAGAUAUGUCUCCACUUUAGAGGUGGUUCAGUCUGUAUAUGUCAAAUCCGGAUGAUUAGUACCUCUGAUGGUGCCCUCUCUUCUUAACAGGUCCGUUUCUUGGAAGACGUCACGUUAAGUAUUUUUUACAUGCACUUUUAACCUUUCUCGUCGCGUAGCGUAGACUCAUGGGUAACAAUCUACACCUACCGGAGGUUGUUCAUUUUUUUACGUAACUUUAUCCUGACCUUACACAACUCUAACUAGCCGACUUCUCUGGUAGGUAUCUUUGUUAAGAGCUGUUCGAUUUGCCUGCUACACGUAGGUAUUCUUUGAUUUUACAGUACGGUCCAGAGGUUAGAGGUAGCUCGUACUUUAAACCCAAAACAAGUCGUCUGUACACGUUCUACCUUACCUAUGAGGGAUAAUAACGAUCUUACUUAAUAAAUAUUUUGUCAUGCGAUACUAUACAUGCAGUAACACUUCGGAUAAUUUAACAUAAAGAGGAACAUUGACGAUGCAUGAGGUGUAUAGAGAAGCACCAUUACCUAUAAAAAUAAGAGGUCUAUGUUACA